UAUUUUUGGUCAAAGCCUCUUCAGGGAACUUCUGCUGCUCAUCCAGGUUGGGUCAGGAAAGAGCCCAGUCAACACAUCUGCACUUCUGCCCUAUGGCUCUGCCUGGGAGACAAUCAAAUGAGAGGGAUUGGGUAUUCAUCUAGUUUAAUAACUCCUAAUCUCCCUAGGGGAACAAAGUAUAAGAGGAAAGGGAUCAGCUAAUUAUAGUUAAUUGUAUUAGCCUAAAGAGAGUGAUUAACAUAAUUAAGAUAGCCUUGUGACUAGUAGCUCUAUGGCAGAAAUGUGCUCUUGGAUGCAGUAGGUGAAAAUCAGAUUUAAAAGAAGUAUGGGCUAAAGAAACCUAACGUCUUAAACAGAUUUUUUUUUUCCAAAUGUGGCAGUAAAAGUGCACAAGAUUGCUGUAAACAUCAAAUGGCCAUAAGCGAGGCACAUUUUGCAGAAAGAAAAAAGGUUAAUGUACUGGAAAAUUUACAGUGUGUGAGCAAUGUGAGAGAGGUAAGCAUACGUGUGUUGUCUGGUAACAGAGCGUUUGGCCCAGGAAACAGCUACUGGUGUACCAAAGGAAGACAAGUUUAGGUACGAAUUUGAGGGAGAAAGGAGAAGAAGCAGACAGACGGGCUGCCAAGCAGUGUUUUACCUGAAGCACGUCCCAGUGCUCAUAUCCAGCACAACUCUGCAUUGAAGCUCUGCUCCAAAGCAGUCACUGUCCCC
ensembl:lncRNA